rnacentral:misc_RNA from 1 species
UUAAAAAAAAAAAAUCAUCUAUGGUUGAGCGGAUUCCAUGCCCUGCAAAGCGUUAGGCGGUGGCAGGCAACAUCAAUCCUCUAGAUUAAAAAUGUGAUUCAUGUAACCCUAUCGUAGCUUUUGUGCGAUGAACACGACCCAGGCUCAAAUUUGCCUCGGAUUAUAAACAACACAUUAUUUCUUAUUUCGUCAAUAAAAUAUAGUGUUAUGAAAACAAAAUUAGAAUGGAAAUCAAAAUCACACAAAUAUAUUCAGAAAUUGCUGCAAGGUGUCUAUUCUUGAAGCGAGAUUCUGAGUGGGGUGAGGAGGAUGAGCAUCGUUCAUGGCUGACAACAUCAUUCAUGUAAGGCGAGGGGAGUCUCCUCUUGGACCUCUGUAGUGCAGUUCGCAUCGUUGUUGUAGAUGGGAACCCUUGAGGAUUAUGAACUGGAGGCCCACAUUAAUGGUGAAAAGAAAAGAAGUAAGGAGGGGAAUUGGAGGAAAUGCUUGGUGCUCUAUGACUGUUUUAGCAAGGGACACUAAAAUGCAAAAUUUUAAGUAUUUUCUAGUUGGAUUCAA